CCUGCACCAGUGGGGUCCCUUGGCCUGGCCUGCAGGAUUGGGCCGAUACUGGCUCUUUGACAUCUCCUGAGGGAUCCUAGAUUGUGAGAGGGUGCAGGCCAGGCCAAGGGACCCCACCGGUGCACU
rfam:Myotis davidii contig195745, whole genome shotgun sequence.